rnacentral:rRNA from 1 species
GACGAACGCUGGCGGCGUGCUUAACACAUGCAAGUCGAACGGAAAGGCCCCUUUGGGGGUACUCGAGUGGCGAACGGGUGAGUAACACGUGAGUAACCUGCCCUUGACUUCGGGAUAACUUCAGGAAACUGGGGCUAAUACCGGAUAGGAAUCCUUUCUUCAUGGUGGGGGUUGGAAAGCUUCGGCGGUUUUGGAUGGACUGGCGGCUUAUCAGCUUGUUGGUGGGGUAGUGGCUUACCAAGGCUUUGACGGGUAGCCGGCCUGAGAGGGCGACCGGCCACAUUGGGACUGAGAUAAGGCCCAGACUCCUACGGGAGGCAGCAGGGGGGAAUAUUGCACAAUGGGCGGAAGCCUGAUGCAGCAACGCCGCGUGCGGGAUGACGGCCUUCGGGUUGUAAACCGCUUUCAGCAGGGGCGAAGCUUGUGGUGACGGUACCUGCAGAAGAAGCACCGGCUAACUACGUG